rnacentral:rRNA from 1 species
GACGAACGCUGGCGGCGUGCUUAACACAUGCAAGUCGAACGGAAAGGCCCUGCUUUUGUGGGGUGCUCGAGUGGCGAACGGGUGAGUAACACGUGAGUAACCUGCCCUUGACUUUGGGAUAACUUCAGGAAACUGGGGCUAAUACCGGAUAGGAGCUCCUGCUGCAUGGUGGGGGUUGGAAAGUUUCGGCGGUUGGGGAUGGACUCGCGGCUUAUCAGCUUGUUGGUGGGGUAGUGGCUUACCAAGGCUUUGACGGGUAGCCGGCCUGAGAGGGUGACCGGCCACAUUGGGACUGAGAUACGGACCAGACUCCUACGGGAGGCAGAAGUGGGGAAUAUUGCACAAUGGGCGGGAGCCUGAUGCAGAAACGCCGCGUGCGGGAUGACGGCCUUCGGGUUGUAAACCGCUUUCGCCUGUGACGAAGCGGGAGUGACGGUAAUGGGUAAAGAAGCACCGGCUAACUACGUG